AUCAAUCAGAAAUAUAUGUUCUUAAGGACACAAUUCAUGCUUUGGAUUGACAGAAAACUAAAAUUAAGAACAAGCCAGAUAAUAUGGAGUCUCUUUAUUUCUGUAUUAUUCUUGCGCAGACAAAGACUUAAAAGGUGCGCAGACAAAGACUUAAAAGGACUUAACAAAGACUCCCUUUCCUUGGUCUUUGUUUUUCUCUCCACCCUCUUGCUUAAUCCAGUCCACAAAAGCAUCAAUGGUGCUCAAGUCAGCCCUGCGUUUUUUCUGGGUAAAUUCUAGCAGAGUAGGCCAAGUAAAGUCUGGG
rnacentral:lncRNA from 1 species